UAAAGUUUUCCCUCUUCAAAGUCUUGAAAAAAAUUAAAAUCUCCCAACACCAAUCUCACAUUCCCAGAAUCAGGUUUCACCAAAAUCAAUUUCCAUCCCCAAUCGUUUGAUAAUCCCUUUCCUUCCCCUAGCCCUUCAUUGUUCCCCCAUCUCUCAUGUCCAUCUCUCUAGUACUACUACCAUUUCUCCACCGGUGAAUCAUUUUCUCUCUUCGGAUAAAUCACUUCACGGAUCGCUUUCCUCUUCUUCAUCGUCAAGAUCUUCAUUGUUUGUCUAGGGUUCACGGAUCUUCUCCAUCGCGUUCAACUUCAAAGCUUGCAAAAUUUUAAACCAAAUCAUCCAGAUCUGUAUAUUCAUGUUGGCUGGUUUUUGUAUCAGAAGUAGAGGGGCAAUCUUGACCCAAAGCUUUCCAACUGGGUUAGUUUGGGAUGCUUUUAAAAUUAUAUGGGUUGGUUUAGGGUUAGAACUACGUUUGGACAAUCGAUCUCAAAAUUUUUGUUGAUGUUGCAGUUAAGGGUAGAUAUUUUAAUCAGUUUAUUAGUGGCGAUUGGUUGUCUUUUUCUAUACCAACUGAUUCAAACAUCCAAAGUAUAAAAUACAUUGUACUUCCGGUUGAAGUCCCUGGUAUUGGUACUUUGGUCUCUAAUAACUAUUUACCUUAGCAUUUUCAAGAAGACAUAAUGAUGGGCAAGAAAUAUGUUUGGAUAAUUGAUCUUCAAAUUUUUUGUUGACAUUGCAGUUAAGGGUAGAUAUCAAUCUAUGAAGAGAAGCUUUUGAGUUAAGUUUUAUGAUAGUCAAUUCCUCACCCAAAAGAAGGUUUAGGCCUCUCGUGUAAACAUUUUAGAAUUUGGAAUAUGUUACUUGUUACACAAUGUUUUGCUAACAUUUGGAAUAUGUUACGGAUCGAACUUAUUAUUGAAGUUAUAAUAUUAUGAUUUCUACAUUUA